GUAAUAUUCCGGAUCCAAGUAUCCAAAACUACCCUUCACUAUUGUGCUCAUGUGUGUGACUGACGUAUCACUAGGACCCAUUUUCGACAAACCAAAAUCUGAAACCUUGGCAACCAUUUUCUCAUCCAACAAUAUAUUAGUCGACUUCACAUCACGAUGGAUUAUUAUGCGCUCUGCACCUGCAUGGAGAUAAUGCAGUCCCCUUGCCGCAUCUAUGCAAAUUUGUAGCCUUUUCUUCCAAGACAAUGGGGGAUUACCUCCCCCAUAUAAAUGAGCUCGGAGGGUUCCGUGAUCCAUAUAAUCAUAAACCAGUAUCAUCUCUCCAGUAUCAUCACAACAUCCGAUCAGUGGUACAAGGUGGCGGUGGCGCAGAUUUGAUAGGAUGGUGAUCUCUGUAUGAAACUCGUGAGCCCCUUGUCGUGAUGAUGGGUUCAACCGCUUGAUCGCUACAGGGCAUGUACCUUUUUUCAUAUACCCUUUAUAAACGUUACCAAAACCUCCAGUCUCAAUAACAAAAUUUUCAUCAAAAUUGUUGGUGGCUAAUUUUAUUUCCUCCACAGAAAACUUCAGGUUUCUAACAGAAGGCAAUAAAGAAAUGUCUUUGGUAGCCGAUCCGAAUUUGUUGUUGACGUCCUGAGUUUUCUUUCUUCUCCUUCUCUCCUUCUGAAUAAUAGAGAACCAAUUAUCAAUAGGAACAAGAGUAGCGCUCCCAGCGAGCCUCCUACGAGAGUGCCCACGUGUAUAGAGUGAGAGGUACCACGUUCUUGGAUGCCUUGAACCAAUAUUUCAUGAGUGGCCACAGCAAGGCUACCUCCGGGUUGACUCAGCUUAAAAAUCUCUAAUCCAUUCAGAAAGGCAGUAGGUUCAGUAGUGGAAAAUUUGUUGGGACGAGGAUGCAGGGCAAGCGACAAAGAUGGCUUAGAUACGCUAUCAUCUGGGUUAUCACUCACAAAUACAACAUAGUCUCUAUACACUGGAAUAUGUUCCCCUCCGCUCCAAGAAACAACAUUUGCAGAUUGCUCGGCUGUCUGAUUGUUAAUGGAAAUAGAAAAAACACUUUCAUUAAUGCCGUCCCGCCAAUUAUCACAAAAAUAAAGUCUUAAUAGAUAGUUAAAACCAGAAUCAACUUGAAAGCUCCAAGACAUGGUCAAUGACCAGUGGCGAAUCUAACCAAAAUAAUUCACCCAGCGGAAUUGUUUAACACGGACAGAAUUUUUUCAUAACAUAUAAAUUACAAGUAAAACAUAGUACCUUAUCUAAAUUGAGCUCUACGAUCUCCAAUAGACUCGAAAUGAUCAAUUACAUCCUCUGAAUCAACAGCAUCAACAUAUUCUUUUUCAAUGUGAAGCAUCAUACAACCUGAAAGAUAUCCGUCUUCCAUCUUGUUUCUAAGCCGAGUUUUUAUAAUUUUCAUUGCCGAGAAUGCACGUUCAGUAGUGGCAGUGGAAACAGGAAGUGUCAAGACCAAACGAAUCAAUAUAUCAACUAGGGGGAAAAGUUUAGCUAAGCCUGUUUCAACUAAUUGUCUACACAAUUGUGCAAGAGAAGACAAAUCUUGAAAAUCUUUAUGGGAAACUACUUGACAUCUAUAAUGUUCUAAUUGUAGUCUUAAAGCACGUACCUCUGAUGCAUCAAAGUCUCCUGGAUAGAACUUUUCUGCAAGUUCACAAAUCUUGUUGAUGUCAAACCUUUUAAAGUGAUCUUUAGGAUCCAAUGCAGCACUCAAAACAAGCAGUUCUAUACUUUGCUCCGUGAAUCUGUCAUUUAGCUCUGUCAUUUGGACAUCAAUAAUCACAUUAAACAUGCUAAAAUGAUAAUGAUGUUCAUUUGUGACAAAAUCAUGUUGUUGACAACCACGACCAGUCCCCAUUGAGUAGGAUGCAUCCAUUUUAGGCAUUUCAAGAUCAUGAUUUUCUCCAAAUUUAUAGACAUUUAGCAAAAACUCAUCCCAACCAUGAUCCCUCAAUUCUUGCAGAAGUGCCUUUGUACUUGAAGUCAAAUUCAUAGCAUUAACAAUAUCUUGUGAUUGUCUUUGUAAUGCUUGAGAAAGUAAAUCUGUUAUACCCAUGAUUUUGUUAGUAAGUAACAAACAAAAUAUAAAAUCAAAUGUCCUUAAUGCUUUAAGAAAACCUUUUGCAUCACCUCUUACACUUCCUGCGAGUUCUUUGUCGAUCAUCAUACUUUCAAGUAGCUGAGUAACCUCGUCAAAAAUAUGAACCAGAGUAUUAACAGAAGCAAAAUGAGAACCCCAUCGAGUCAUACCUGCUCUUUUUAAACUGCGAAUCUGAUUAAGACCUUUUCCUGUCUCAAGAUUUCCAUCUGCUAAACUUUCUAAGUGUUCUGCUUCCUGAAUAUCUCUUAACAGAUUAGUACGCUUUGAUGAAGAUCCGACAAAAUUGACAAUGGAGCUUAGCAUUUGAAAAAAUAUAUGCAUAUCAGGAACAUCUCUAGCACAUGCAUUUAAAGCUAAUUGUAACCGAUGAGCAAAGCAAUGAACGUAAUAUGCAUAUGGAUUGUCUUGAAGGAAUAAUGUCUUUAGUCCAUGAAACUGACCACGCAUAUUGCUAGCUCCGUCAUAUCCUUGACCACGAAUGUUUUGCACUUGGAGUUUGUUUGUAGAAAGCACAGAGCAUAUAUGUUCCUUGAGAGUAAUGGAAGUAGUGUCUUUAACACUAACAAUUUCAAAGUACCUUUCUCGAACAUAUCCUUCUUGAUCAACAAAUCUGAGAAUAAUUGCCAUUUGCUCCUUAUGAGAUACAUCAAGUGAUUCAUCAACUAGGAUACAGAACUUGGAAUCUCCAAUUUCUUGUCGAAUUUUACUUCGAAUCUUAGUUGCAAUGAUAUCUAAAAUUUCUUUCUGAAUCGAUGGUGCUAUGUACAUGGCAUGUUUGGGAGCAUUUUCAAGAACCACCUUAGCAAUUUCAUUCUCCAGACUUGCAUAACUCUUUAUCAUCUCAAUGAAAUGCCCUCUGCUACUAGAACUGGAAGAUUCAUCGUGACCUCUAAAGGGCAAUCCUUCUUUACCAAGAUACUUAACAGCUGCUAUCGUUGUUUUUAAACGCAACCUGUUCUGCCUCACAAUUUCUGGUGGAAGUUUCUCGAUCACUCGAUCAAUGUGUUGAGAUGUUUUUAGCAAAUCGGCCCAACUCUGAACAUUCCUUUUAUGUAAAGAAUUUGUUUGUCCAACAUGCUGCUCACAAAUUCCUUUUUUCCCAGCCAACAUUCUACUCCAAUUACAACAUCCUGUAGUUGUGAACAAAGGAAACUUUGGUGGAUUUUUUUCAAAAAGAAAACAAGGGAAGCAGAAUGCUUUAUCUUUUGCAACUGAAUAUUCCAACCAAGGAAACAAUGAAAACCAUCUAUGUUGAAAACGACGAUUAUCGCGUCCAUCAAAAGUUGUUGGGUAAUUUUGCAAUUUUGGUUGACAAGGACCCAAUUGUAGAUACUCUUUUCUUAUACGAUCUUGCUGAUUUACCGGAAAUGUACAUAUCAAAUCACGUAAUCCUGGAUCAGUUUGAACAGUUGGGGUUUUUGGAGCCUCAACAAUGAUUUCCAUUUCAUCUCUAGGCAAAGAAUUUGGGGAAUCAGGAGUCACUGGCGCAGGAUUAUUAGGUGUUGGUGCUUCAGUAGAAUCCCCUUCUCUCUUGUAAAAAGAAAAUAGUGACUUCAUUCUUUUUUUCGACCGUUGAACAGACAUCCUACAACCAGAAUUUUGAACAAGAGUCAAGAGAUAGUGAAGUUAGGUAAAAAAAAUUAAACACACUCAAGUGUUUAGCAACCAAGAAAUACUGAUACUGAUAAAAGUUAUGCCUUUAAUCUCAUAACACAACUAUAAAAACUUUGUGUAAAUUCAGAACUUCAAUUUUCUUUGAUGCAUUCUAUCAAACAGUUAGGCUACAAUUUGUAUACUUAAUAUAAAACAAGUCAAAACUUGUAACAAAGCUACCUGAAUUACUUUCUUCUAAAUGUUGAUUGAAAUAUCAAUUCAAUUAUCCAAAUUCCAAACUCCAGUUGAUAGUGCUCCGUGCUCGGCUGCUCGCGCUUGCUGACUUGCUCUCUCACCCAAUUUCUGUGUUAGACUAUUAGUGUGUAAUGUGUUACUGCGUUUUGUUUAUUUUAAGUUACCCACUCCAAAGUCCAAAAUAAAUAAAACACUAUUAUUUUUUUAAUUUUUCACCCAGCGGUAAAAUUAUUGACAGUAAAAAUUAGAAAUUUUCACCCAGCAUGAGCUGGGCCCGCUUACCUGUAAGUCCGCCUCUGUCAAUGACGAUUCCCGUCCCCCGGAGUAAACAUAUUCAGGAGCCGUGUAGGGGGGAGUGUUCAACGUGUAAUUGAUUGGAAAACUGUCAUGUGCUGUCUCUGCAAAUUCUAUGUCGAGCAGGUAUGGCUCGUCUGAAUUCCAUGAGCGAAAAAUUCCAGUAUCCUGUCCUGGUGAAAUUUCACCACCUCCUAAAUAUAACCGGUAAAGUUUUUCAAGUGCCGAGGAAUCAUUAACAUAAAAUCCCUUAAUUUGACCAAUCAUUUUAACGGCAACCUCAUUUCCUUUGAUGUAGAAAUCAUCAGGAAUGGAAACAAUUUCAAUGCCAUUGACAAAGACGUACGAGUUUGGAGAAGCUGUAAAAGUCACCUCCAGCACACGGCUUCGAUUGACUGUGAUGACAUAUUCUUUAACCAGAGUGAGUAUUCCGUGCUCCAGGUGUUGAAAGGCGUUGAAGUUAGAUAGGAGAUUGUGGUUUGCUGCAUCCACAGAAAAGAUUGACUCGUUUCUCGCGAAACCAAAAAUAUAAGACGUGGGGUAAAAAUAGAGGCGGAGAAAUUUCUGACCAGCGUCGGAGACAGGGAUUGCAUAUGUAAAUUUAGAAUGAGAUGCGCGGGCUGUGGAGUAAGAGCAAGUCCAAUAGGUUACCUAUCCUAUUACUUAUAAAUAAUAUAAAAUAAUGAGUGCUAGUAUGUCUUAAUGAUUUAGGUAAUCUAUUUAUAGUGUCAACUCCAAUAGUAAUCCCUAUAUGUGUUCUCCUAAGAUUAUUUUAAUAAUAAAUUUGAGAGUGAGAAGGGAAAAAGGGGAGAAUAGACAAAGAAAGAAGGAGAGAGAUGAUUAUUUUAUUAUUAAAUAUUAAAUAGGUAAUGACUAGGGGUUACUUAUAAAUAGCUAAUGGCUAGGAGAAUCAAGGUUGUGCUAGUGAUUUAGGAUAACACUAGGAUAGUGUUGGAGUGCAUUUUUUUGACACAUUACCUAAAUGUGAGUUUAGGACAUCAUAUAGGUAACCUAUUGGACUUGCUCAUCUACAUAAGCUCUUUGUGGUGCAGGCGCAGCUGUGGAGCUAUGGAAGUGAUUAUAGGUAAUGGUGUAAAUUUUGGUAGAUAAUCUGUGUCCCAUUCUCGUCCAUCCAGAGAAGUGUUGUAGUCCUUGGAAGCUUCGCCACAGUUGAUGAGAAUGUUAUCGGCAGGAAUGUAUGCCGGCGCGGGGGAGAUGUCGGACAUGACACCGUGGGAGAGCAAGAGGAAGAUGUACAAACAUAAACAAGGCAUCCUUUUAUCAAACUGGAGUUUAAGUGUUUAACUUGAGCAUUUCUUCGGGAAAUAAGCUUAAGAGUAGCAUUAUGUGCACAAAAUUACGUACGCUAUUAAUUGAGGAAAUAUAAGAUAAGGAGGACAUUCCAAUUUAUACUCAUCACAUAUUCACAUAUAGUACAAGAUUUUGUAUACGAUCAAAUAUUUUCCUAAGUUUAAACAUGAGUAGAAAAAUAAGUACUCCUUCCGUCUCGGCCAAUAAUACACAUUGAAAUAGAGACGCGAUACGAAUUUUAAUACUUCAAUAAAGUAUAGUUGUGCAAUUUAUUUUUAAAAAUUUCAUUUUUUAUAAAAAUAUAAUAUGUAUAUUUUUAUGAAAAAAAUUUAAAAAUAAUUUAUAAAAUUAUAUUUUACAAAAAUCUGAAAAAAUUGUGCCGAGCAAUGAAAAAGAACGUAUACAAUUGAAUGGGACGGAAAGAAUACGAGUCUAAGUCUUGGUCGUUGCUCUCAAAGUGGCUCAAGUAUGAGUUUACGUAUGAAUUCGGCUAUUAUUAGUUUAAUGCGUUGUUCAUGGAAUAAUUGGUAAGAAAUUGUUGAACCACAUAAAAUAUUUUAGAGUUGUUGAAUGUUGUGGUAGAAUUCAAUAAUCAAUCAAUACUACUAUAAAGAACUAAGCUGCCGGCUGUCCCGGACUUUUGAAUUUAUAAACCUUUUUAUAUAUAUCAUUUAUCGAUUAUAUAUAGUUCAAUUUUAGACAUUAGCUAAUUUAUUUUGGUUAAUUUGACUUGAUCCAACCAAAGUUUUCUCAAAACAUUACUCCCUCGGUCCUCUUUUACAUGUUCAUUUUGAAAAAAAAAAUACACAUAUCAAAGAAUAAUUGAUUUUAUAAAUUUUUUUCCCUCAAUACCUCUAACUAAUGUCUUGAAAAUGGUGGAAUACCUCUAAUUAAUGUCAUGAAAAUAAAAAUUAUAGGGUAAGAUUUGAAAAACUAUCAUUAAAUUUGUUUGAAAGUGUAGAUGGACAGAUAAAUAAGGACAAUAUUUGUUUUGAAAAUCGACAUGUAAAAGGAGACGGCGGGAGUACAUGAUUCGAAUACCCGAAACAAAAAUAUAAAAAACAUCUAUAUUUAUUGUAAUAAAAAUGUAAAUAAAUAUGACACACAUUGAUAUCAUAAUGAAAAUUUAAAUAAGCAUCACAGAUUAUUCAAAGAUUAUCAAAAUAUUAUCGAAAAAUUGUCUUAAUCGAGAUUGAUAUGAAGAAAAUAUGUCAAAAGAAAAAGCAACUUGAUAUACCUUAAAAUUUAAUAUCCAUCAUUAAUAGAAUUGAAAAUUAACAGUACAAAGUUUUAGAUUAGAAUUAUCAUUUUGGAAUAAUUGGACAAUAAUUAUAAUCAUUAAUAAAUGAGUUUUUUUUGAAUAACAUCAUUAAUAAAUGAGUUAAUUCAAUAAUAUGAUAUUUUAUUAUUGAAUUAAAUCAUUUAUCAAUAAAAAAAAUACUUCUCUAAACAUUAAUCAAAUAUUCUAAGCCUUUACCAUUAUAAAUAUGUAGAUUUAUCUCGCUUGUUGAGAAAAAUUAGAAAAUCAAGAAAACUUCUCCAAACAUUAAUCAAAUGUCACUCUAAACCUUGCUCAUAUGGCAAGUCCUGCAUAACCAGUGGCCUAGCACACAACACUUCAAACAAAACGAAUACACGUCUGAUUUGGUAGUUAAUUGCCGCCGUAGGUAAUAUUCUGGAUCUGACUGCUUGCAGAUGGUACAAGCCAUUCGAAGCUCCUUCAUGUGCUUCAUGUGUUUUAGAUAUUUUCGUUUACACUGACGUGUAGGUGUCCGUGUGUGCGGAAUUGGUUUAUAAUGCAUGAGAGUGGAAUUGGUUAUAAGUUAUAACACAUGAGAGUAUGUGACAACUAAGAGCAAGUCCAAUGCUAGAUGCUAUAUAUCCAUUGCUAUUGCUAUAAUAUAGCACCAAAAAAUAUUUUUUGGUGCUAAAAUAAAACUUGCACUCCAAUGCUAAGUUCUAUAACUAGUUUCAAAUUUAACCAACUCAUUAACUUUUACCUAACUUCUAUAUAGAACCAACUCAUUAACUUUUACCUAACUCAUUAACCCAUUAACUAGUUUCCAAUUUCUAGUUAUUGAUGAUGUGGCAACAUCGAUGGAUCCAUCCUUGGUUUCAAAUAUAGAACCAAGGAUGCAUCUAAGCAUGGAUGCAUCCAAAUAUAGCACCCCUUUGGAGUUGAGUUUUUUUACUUUUGAUGCUAUAAUAUAGCAAUAGAACCAAGUAUAGCAUUGCAUUGGAGUUGCUCUAACUACCAGGAUCCUUUAAAAUUUCAACCAUAAUCAUGUAUAUCAGAAAGCAAGAAGAGAGGAGUGCGAGUAAUCUAUUUUAUUAUUACAAUAGAAGGUUUAGCUUCAUCAUGAAUGCAGGGGGAAUCCAGACAACUGUCUCCGGUUAUAAAGGUUUAAACCAAGUUUAACCAGUGCCUUACAAUUCCAGAUCGUUUUCUUUUUUCCGCCUUUGCAUUGUCUCAUUUUGUACUCUUCUUUCCUCUUUCACAAUGCUGUCAACCUUAUCGUGCAUUCGGGUUCAGAAUAUCAGAGAAUACACUUCCAACUCCAGACUUGAAUCCGUCACUUCCUGUACUUGAGGUUGACGCUUCGCCACUUGUAGCAUUGGCCACAAUAUUAGUUGAAAGGAGGUUAUCAUGGUCUAACAUUUCAAAAGUCUUUUGAAGCUGCAAUGCUGAUUCCAGGCCCCAAACAACAUUGCUCAUGGUAGGCCUAUCAGUCCCGUGGUCCCUUAGGCAGCUAUAUCCGACCUCUCCAAACUUUUCAAGACUCUCAGCUGUAAUCUCCCCUGCAACAUUCUUAUCCACUAUUUCACCAAGUAGACCAUUCCUGUAACAAUUUCGAGACCACUCGGCUAAAUUCAUCUGCUCAUAUGGCAAGUCCUGCAUAAUCACUGGCCUAGCACACAACACUUCAAACAACACCACUCCAAACGAAUACACGUCUGAUUUGGUAGUUAAUUGCCGCCUUAGGUAAUAUUCCGGAUCCAAGUAUCCAAAACUACCCUUCACUAUUGUGCUCAUGUGUGUGACAGACGUGCCACUAGGACCCAUUUUCGACAAACCAAAAUCUGAAACCUUGGCAACCAUUUUCUCAUCCAACAAUAUAUUAGUCGACUGCACAUCACGAUGGAUUAUUAUGCGCUCUGCACCUGCAUGGAGAUAAUGCAGUCCCUUUGCCGCAUCUAUGCAAAUUUGUAGCCUUUGCUUCCAAGACAAUGGGGGAUUAUCUCCCCCAUAUAGAUGAGCUCGGAGGGUUCCGUGAUCCAUGUAUUCAUAAACCAGUAUCAUCUCUCCAGUAUCAUCACAACAUCCGAUCAGGGGAACAAGGUGGCGGUGGCGCAGAUUUGAUAGGAUGGUGAUCUCUGUAUGAAACUCGUGAGCCCCUUGUCGUGAUGAUGGGUUUAACCGCUUGAUCGCUACAGGGCAUGUACCCUUUUUCAUAUACCCUUUAUAAACGUUACCAAAACCUCCAGUCCCAAUAACAAAAUUUUCAUCAAAAUUUUUGGUGGCCAAUUUUAUAUCCUCCACAGAAAACUUCAGGUUUCUGACAGAAGGCAAUAAAGAAAUGUCUGUGGUAG
rnacentral:lncRNA from 1 species